GGUGUAGUGAUAAUGUAGCGAGAUUUUCUGUUGUGCUUGAUCUAACCAUGUGGUUGCGAGGUAUGAGUAAAACAUGGUUCCGUCAAGCACCAUGGAACGUCACGCAGCUUUCUACAGCAUGACA
rnacentral:pre_miRNA from 1 species